GACGAACGCUGGCGGCGUGCUUAACACAUGCCAGUCGAACGGAAAGGCCCUGCUUUUGUGGGGUGCUCGAGUGGCGAACGGGUGAGUAACACGUGAGUAACCUGCCCUUGACUUUGGGAUAACUUCAGGAAACUGGGGCUAAUACCGGAUAGGAGCUCCUGCUGCAUGGUGGGGGUUGGAAAGUUUCGGCGGUUGGGGAUGGACUCGCGGCUUAUCAGCUUGUUGGUGGGGUAGUGGCUUACCAAGGCUUUGACGGGUAGCCGGCCUGAGAGGGUGACCGGCCACAUUGGGACUAAGAUACGGCCCAGACUCCUACGGGAGGCAACAGUGGGGAGUAUUGCACAAUGGGCGGAAGCCUGAUGCAGCGGCGCCGCGUGCGGGAUGACGGCCUUCGGGUUGUAAACCGCUUUCGCCUGUGACGAAGCGUGAGUGACGGUAAUGGGUAAAGAAGCACCGGCUAACUACGUG
rnacentral:rRNA from 1 species